GGGGAAGGGUGAGAACCUUCGAUUAAGGUUCGACUCGAGCGAAAGCGAGAGAACGUUGCCAACGGCAACGGCCCGUAGGGUGAGGAGCGAAGCGACGAAUAAUCCUUCCCCUACCACCA
rnacentral:sRNA from 6 species